rnacentral:pre_miRNA from 1 species
UAACCUCUUCAGGCUAGUGGGUUCCCAGGCUGGGCAGGGCGAGUAUCUCUUCACAAGGCUCACCCUCAAGCACCACUAGGAGC